rnacentral:rRNA from 1 species
UACGAAGGGGGCUAGCGUUGCUCGGAAUCACUGGGCGUAAAGGGCGCGUAGGCGGCCAUUCAAGUCGGAGGUGAAAGCCCAGGGCUCAACCCUGGAAUUGCCUUCGAUACUGACGAUCUGGAGAUCGGGAGAGGUUGGUGGAAUUCCGAGUGUAGAGGUGAAAUUCGUAGAUAUUCGGAGGAACACCAGAAGCGAAGGCGGCCAACUGGCCCGAUACUGACGCUGAGGCGCGAAAGCGUGGGGAGCAAACAGG